GAACGAACGCUGGCGGCGUGCCUAACACAUGCAAGUCGUGCGAGAAAGUUCCUUCGGGAGCGAGUAAAGCGGCGCACGGGUGAGUAACACGUAGGUAACCUGCCCCCCCAGUCUGGAACAACUAGAGGAAACUCUAGCUAAUGCCGGAUGAGACCACGAUCCCUUCGGGGGUUGCGGCCAAAGAUGGCCUCUACUUGUAAGCUAUCGCUGAGGGAUGGGCCUGCGGGCCAUUAGCUUGUUGGUGAGGUAACGGCUCACCAAGGCUGUGAUGGCUAGCUGGUCUGAGAGGAUGACCAGCCACACUGGGACUGAGACACGGCCCAGACUCCUACGGGAGGCAGCAGUGGGGAAUAUUGGACAAUGGGCGAAAGCCUGAUCCAGCAAUGCCGCGUGAGUGAUGAAGGCCUUAGGGUUGUAAAGCUCUUUUACCCGGGAUGAUAAUGACAGUACCGGGAGAAUAAGCCCCGGCUAACUCCGUG
rnacentral:rRNA from 1 species